UAGAAAUUUUCCUAUGGUAACCGUCAAUGGU
rnacentral:piRNA from 1 species